rnacentral:rRNA from 1 species
AAUGAACGCUGGCGGCGUGCCUAACACAUGCAAGUCGAGCGAGAAAGUCCUUUCGGGGACAAGUAUAGCGGCGAACGGGUGAGUAACACGUAAGAAUCUACCCUUUAGUGAAGAAUACCCUCGAGAAAUCGAGGUUAAUACUGCAUACGUCCCUUCGGGGAGAAAGAUGGCCUCUUUGCUAUCGCUAAAGGAGGAGCUUGCGGACUAUUAGCUAGUUGGCGGGGUAAAGGCCCACCAAGGCGAUGAUGGUUAGCCGGCCUGAGAGGAUGAUCAGUCACACCGGAACUGAGACACGGUCCGGACUCCUACGGGAGGCAGCAGUGGGGAAUAUUGGACAAUGGGCGCAAGCCUGAUCCAGCAAUGCCGCGUGUGUGAAGAAGGCCUUCGGGUUGUAAAGCACUUUAGCCUGGAAAGAAAAAACUUUGGUUAACACCCAAAGUCUUGACGGUACCAGGAGAAUAAGCACCGGCUAACUCUGUGCCAGCAGCCGCCGUAA